UUUGAUGCGUAUUUGUCUUGCUUUCUGCAGCUUAUGGCCCUAACCAGCGGGUGCUACGUUACCACUAUCGUUUAUUCUGCUCCUAAAGGCUCAGUCUUGCGAUCUUGCACUGACCACGCCGACCUGCCGCAUUCCGCGGGCAGUAUUUUAAGGAGAAACACGAUGGCUAAUGGCACCGUGAAAUGGUUCAACUCUACUAAAGGCUUCGGCUUUAUCGCACCUGACGAAGGUGGCAAAGACGUGUUUGUACACAUCUCUGCUGUUGAGCGCGCAGGCCUCACAGGCUUGGCAGACAACCAAAAAGUCACAUUCGACAUCGAAGCUGGCCGCGACAACCGCGAAAGCGCGACAAACAUCGCAUUGGCGUAAGCUGAUCCGGCAGCCGACUUUACGUCGGCGCCAACCAAGAAUUCAAAGGCGCACGGUUCUCUGUGCGCCUUUUGC
rnacentral:misc_RNA from 1 species